GACGAACGCUGGCGGCGUGCCUAAUACAUGCAAGUAGAACGCACAGUUUAUACCGUAGCUUGCUACACCAGAGACUGUGAGUUGCGAACGGGUGAGUAACGCGUAGGUAACCUGCCUGGUAGCGUGGGAUAACUAUUGGUAACGAUAGCUAAUACCGCAUAAUAUUAAUUAUUGCAUGAUAAUUAAUUGAAAGUUGCAAUUGCACCACUACCAGAUGGACCUGCGUUGUAUUAGCUAGUAGGUGAGGUAAUGGCUCAUCUAGGCGACGAUACAUAGCCGACCUGAGGGGGUGAUCAGCCGGACUGAGACGGAGACACGGCACAGACUGAUACGGGAGGCAGCAGUAGGGAAUCUUCGGCAAUAGACGAAAGUCUGACCGAGCAACGCCGAGUGAGUAAAGAAGGUCUUCGGAUCGUAAAGCUCUGUUGUAAGAGAAGAACGGGUGUGAGAGUGGAAAGUUCACACUGUGACGGUAUCUUACCAGAAAGGGACGGCUAACUACGUG
rnacentral:rRNA from 1 species